rnacentral:lncRNA from 1 species
GGGGUCUUACUAAGUUGCCCAGGCUAUUCUUGAACUCCUGGGCUCAAGCUAUGUUGCUGCCUCAGCUUCCUCAGUAGCUGAUACUACCGGCAUUUGCCACUGUACUUGGCUUGGAAUAGUUUUUUUAAACUAAAAAUUAGGAAAAAUUUACCCCAGAAUUAAAGAAUAUUUUUGGAGUGCCAUUAUGCAUGGUCAGCUUGUUAUUACAUAUAUGUUCUAAAUCGUAUAUGAUUUUUAGCCAAGGAUAUUUCAUAUUAUACAUUCCUCCUCUCUUUUUUUAAGAACUAUAAGAACAGUGAGCCAUCUCCUGGAAUAUUUCUUAUGGAAUUUCAUAUUUUCCAAGUCAUUGUAAAUUUUUUAACACGUGACUGUUUCUACAUUAACAAGGUCAUUCGGAGGGAAGAACUUUAUAAAUAUAAUAACAUUUCACUUGGGCAUUGUGAAGG